UGUUAAGAGAGUGAAAAAAAGAAAGAGAAAGAGAGAAAGAGAGGAGACAGAAUUUUUGGCAUACAGUUAACAGAAGUAGAAACUUGGAAACAG